ACAAUGGAGAGUUUGAUCCUGGCUCAGGAUGAACGCUAGCGGCAGGCUUAAUACAUGCAAGUCGAGGGGGGCACGGUUAAAGCAAUAACUGGUGAAGACCGGCGCACGGGUGCGUAACACGUAUACAAUCUACCUUAAACAGGGGAUAGCCUUUCGAAAGAGAGAUUAACAAUUCCUGCACCAAAUUGAACGGCAUCGUUUGAUUUUAAAAGCUCCGGCGGUUUGAGAUGAGUAUAAGUCUGAUUAGUUGAAGUUGGUGAGGUAACGGCUCACCAAGGCACGAUCAGUAGUGGAUCUUGAGAGGACUCAACCCUUAACACUGGUACUGAGACACGGGGCAGACGUAUUCUCACGGGAGGCAGCAGUAAGGAACAUUGGUCAAUGGAGGCAACUUUGAACCAGCCAUGCUGCGUGCAGGGAUGACGGCCCUAUGGGUUGUAAACUGCUUUUAUACUCAGAGAAAACCCGAGUACGUGUACUGGUUGAUAGUAUGGUAAAGAAUAAGCAUCGGGCUAACUUCUGUGCCAGCAGCCGCGUGGUGUUAUCGAAGGAUGCAGCGUUAUCUUCGGAUUCAUUGGGUCUAGUGGUGCGAGGCGGACCUGUAAGUCAGUGGUGAAAUCUCCUUGCUUUAAUUGCAAAGAAACUGCCAUUGAUACUGCAAGUCUAGAGUAUAGAUGACGUUAACGGAAUAUGACAUGCAGCGGUGAAAUAAUAGAUAUGUCAUAGAACACCAUUGCGAAGGCAGCUAACGAAAC
rnacentral:rRNA from 1 species